rnacentral:lncRNA from 1 species
GGUGGUGGGGGUGAUUUCUCCGGCGGUGGUGGGGACUUGUAGUAGUAAGGUGGUGGAGGAGAUGGCGAUGGUGGUGGUGGGGACUUGUAGUAGUAAGGAGGGAGUGGUGAUGGAGAUGGUGGUGGGGGAGAUUUGUAGUAGUAGGGAUGAGGGGAUGGAGAUGGUGGUGGGGGAGAUUUGUAGUAGUAGGGAUGAGGGGAUGGAGAUGGUGGUGGGGGAGAUUUGUAGUAGUAGGGAUGAGGGGAUGGAGAUGGUGGUGGUGGGGAGACGUAAUGAUAAGGUGGUGGUGGAGAUUUCUCCGGCGGUGGUGGGGAGAUGUACUGAUAAGGUGGUGGUGGGGAUUUCUCCGGAGGUGGUGGGGAGAUGUAGUGAUAAGGUGGUGGUGGGGAUUUUUCCGGUGGUGGUGGGGAGAUGUACUGAUAAGGUGGUGGUGGAGAUUUUUCCGGUGGUGGUGGGGAGAUGUACUGAUAAGGUGGUGGUGGAGAUUUUUCCGGUGGUGGUGGGGAGACGUAAUAAUACGGCUUUGGUGGAGGUUUCACCGGUGGUGGCGGUGACUUGUAUAGGUAAGUUGGUGGUGGAGGUGGUGGUGAUUUAUAGACAUAAGUUGGUGGUGGUGGGGAGACGUAAUAAUACGGCUUUGGUGGAGGUUUCACUGGUGGUGGCGGUGACUUGUAUAGGUAAGUUGGUGGUGGAGGUGGUGGUGAUUUAUAGACAUAAGUUGGUGGUGGUGGGGAGACGUAAUAAUACGGCUUUGGCGGAGGUUUCACCGGUGGUGGCGGUGACUUGUAUAGGUAAGUUGGUGGUGGAGGUGGUGGUGAUUUAUAGACAUAAGUUGGUGGUGGUGGGGAGACGUAAUAAUACGGCUUUGGUGGAGGUUUCACCGGUGGUGGCGGUGACUUGUAUAGGUAAGUUGGUGGUGGAGGUGGUGGUGAUUUAUAGACAUAAGUUGGUGGCGGAGGAGAUAUGUAGUGGUAAGGAGCAGGAGUUGGCUUGGGCUUCUCACAUUCCUCAUAAGGAG